UCUAGGGAACUGAACUCGGGUCAUCAGGCUUGGCAGCAAGCACUUUUACCCACUGAGUCAUCCCACCAUCCUAGUACAGUUUUCUUUGAAAGAGCAAAUGAUAAAACACCUAACCAUUUAUUCCAAUGCUGGCUCAAGUUGCCAGUAUGACAAUGGCAGAGUGACUAAGGAACACCUCAGGGCCUCUUUGCACUUCAGCAACAUACAUUUUCUUUUCUUUCCUUCUCUUUUUUUGAAAGUGUGUGUACAUGUUCAUGGUAGGGGAGGGCAAUGUGUGUGUUGGGUGCAUGUCUGUGUGAAAGACAGAGAUCAACCUCUGGUGUUGUUUCUCAGGAGCUGUCCACCUUUCAGAGACUGGGUCUCCCACUGGCCUGGGGCUUACUAACUGAUUUACCAGGCCCCAGAGAUCCACCUGCCUCUACUUCCCUGGAGUUGAGAUUAGAAGCAUUCUACCAUGUCAGGCUUUUUAUGUGGGUCCUGGAGAUCAAACUCAGGUCCUUACGCUUGGAUAGUAAGCCCUUUACUGACUGAACCAGUAUCGUCUCCCAUCCUCCUUUCCUGAAGACUCACACCACAGGAGUGUUUGUUAUAUGCUGGGCACCUAUCCACACCAUCUCACUUGUCUACCCCAGAGCCCCAAGUAUACUUAUUAUCUCAUUUUACAGAUGAUGAAAGUAGGGUACAGAGUUACUCUCCCCAGGCUAGCAAGUCAGGCCACUAGCCCACAGCUGGCGGGAAGCAGAGCUAGUACUCGAUCUCAUGCAGCUCUGACUGACCCACUCUGUUUAGACUCACUGUUUUCAAUCCAGUACCUGCUGAGCUCCUACUUUUCUGUGCCUACUCAAGACCCUGGAGUAAUGACACUGAACUCCUUGUGCUCAAUUGUCAGAGUCCAUGGAAGCAAAGCCACCAGCCAUGUCUUGGGACCUCAGGUCCCUAGGCCUACAUCACAGCCAGAACUGACCUGACCCGAAAAUACAAAUACUACCAGGCCUUUAGACCAGUAAUGCUUAGCCUCUUCCCAGUGAGAAGGAGGCACAGAGAAAGGAAAAGGGAAGAGGAAAGGGAGGGCACUGCUCACAGCUGAUACUCCUAAAAUUUACCUUAAGGGGAUGCUUAGACAAACAGGUGUGGAGUCAGUCUGGUAUAUGUCCUAAGGCCCUGGAAGGGUCACACACCAGUCCUGCCAGUUUUAACGAAAGCCUGAUAUUCUUUUCAGGAGGAGUCAGUCACAAACUAAAUGCACUAUAGAAGCCAAGAAGAUAACAGAAUGAAGGGCAUGUACUGCCUAAGUGGCCUCUGGAGUCUCACAGAUGAAGAUAGAGAAAUCCUUUUUUUGGAGGUUACUGACAUACUGGUAACUCAAGUCUCCUGGAUAUCAGGAUCUGAAGAACUUUCCUGAUAAUUUCCAACUAAAACACACUGGUGGCCUCCAUUGGAGCAUGAAAAUGGCAAGACAUGAUUCUCGGCACUCCCUCACCUCCCCAUCAAGGCAAUGAUGUCUGUUCCCAUAAAAAGAGCUAAUAAAAUUGGCCUCCACGGUGAUACAGGGAAAGUCUUAUUUAAUAAAAUAAUGCAUUUUGUUUCCUUCCCAGAACAGCAAUAAAAUGGUACACCGAGAACCACAAUAUUGUAUCUAGAUGGUUAUCACAGUGUAUAUGUGAGUCUGUCAUGUGUGGCUAUAUGGAAGCCGGGAAGAUCGCUUCAUGAAGGGACAAGUUUGAACAACUUGCAACCAUCCUCUCAACAGGAAUUAUUUACUGACCCCCUUUGAAUACACUCCUUGGAUCCACAAGUCAAGCCUUUCCAUGUUCCUUGUCUAGAAAAAGAAGCUACAGGGACUUCUCAAAAAGUAGUGAACUUU